GCCAGGUCGGUGGUUUUCUCGCCCAAUUGGGCUCUUUUUCCUGGUAUUGGGCGUGAAAAACAUGGUUUCCGCGGUUUGGCGCUUUUUGGGCUCUUUUUACCGCAGUUGGGCUAUUUUCUGGGCUACUUAUAUUUGAAAAUAUAUAAUAUACUCUUGCCUUCCCGACAUACCAAAUGAGGGAGUAGACUCACUCGUAUGAUAAGGAGUGGCGCCAGGUCAGCCAGUAGAAGGGUGGUGUGAACAAGUCUCCCCUCUCCCUAAGGGGAUUACUACUAGGGCCGCAUGACCUCAUUAAGACUGUAGGGCAUCCAUCCUGAACACCUGCAUGCCGCACCCAUAAUUUCCACAUUCACCUCACAGCACACACACUGAAACACAGCCACUUUAUUUAUUCUCAGCCUCGUAGCUGCCUCAGCCUGCCUGGAGGAGAUACAAGUAUACUGGAUGCAGGCCACGUGCAUACGUGUGUACGUAUGCACGUGAACAUGAGCAAGUGGUCGAAAUACAGCAAAAAAUACUGUAAAGAGUGGGAACAAGAGGACGGGCUCAAGACAACAAAGUGUUAGCACCGUGUAUGCUGAAGGAACUGUGUUGUGACAUUGGCAAAAGUGAAUAUUCAUUGAUAAUACACGAAAGUACUGACAAUAAUAGGAAGAAAAAGCUGUGUAUUGUUGUUGUUGUUGUUGUUCGGUACCCAAGUUACGAACAGAAAAGAAUCAUAACAUCAUUCUUGGGACUUGUUGAACUCGAUAGAAGCACUGCUGAGGCUGUUACAGCAUCUUUGCUUGAGUUCCUGAAAAAAAGUAAAUCUGAACAUAAAAAAGUGUAUUGGUUUGGCAAGUGAUGGCUGUAACACAAUGUCCGGAGCACACAACUCCGUCACCUCACGAUUACGUGAAAUAAAUCCGGAGGUUACACACAUCAAGUGCAUUUGCCACUCGUUACAAUUAUGCAUGUCGUAUGCCAUGAAAAAACUACCUUCCCACCUUGAGUUCAUGGUAUCGCAGACAUAUAAGUAUUUUUCGAAUAGCUCUCUCCGACAGCAGAAAUAUAUGCAGAGGUGGGCUCUUGUUGGAGUAAAAGUGCGCGGGAAUACUGCCGCAGACCUGGCAACCCUGCCUGCGACCGACUCGCCUGAGUUGACACUAAGCCACGGUCAAGGUGAGACGUACGCCUCCGUGUUCUGGCGUCCCUCCGGAUAUUCUCGGUGCCACCGCGACUCUGGCACCCCUCUGUUGGGUGUGCGUGGUGCCCCUGGCCUGACACUCCACGCGGCUGCUGUACCUAUACCGUGCUCCGGGAGGACAGCAGCGAUGCCGCCCUCUCUGUGUUAUGCUGUGUUUGGCCCACGCUGUGUUUUUCACGUGUUUCUGAAGUAAUGUGAUCGCUGAAGGAGAGAAAUGCUGGCGUGAGGAGGCGAGACGUGCUUCCAGGCAGUGAGUGGAGGAGGAGGAGGAUGUCGUCGCUGGUGGAGGCACUGCAGGUGUCUCCCGCCCGCAGCCGGCGUAGGAAGCCCUCCACGGCGCAGAGCCUCUACAGGGGCGUCGUCAGGAGCAAGGUGAGAGGCGGCCGUCCGGACUUGUCACUCUUCCUCACCGUGUCUGUUUUCCUUCGCCUCCUCUCCCAUUGUCUCUUCAUCCUGCAGUCUUCCUCCUCUGACCUCCCUCUUCUUCAGCUUGCGAUCUUUCUCCUCUAA